rnacentral:pre_miRNA from 3 species
UAAAGUAAAUAGUCUGGAUUGAUGAAAGUUGCAUUCGAGAAUUCAUCAACAGGCAUUUACUUCAAC